rnacentral:rRNA from 1 species
AGGGAUCAUUACUGAGUGAGGGCUCACGCCCGACCUCCAACCCUUUGUGAACCAAACCUGUUGCUUCGGGGGCGACCCUGCCGACGAACUCGUCGCCGGGCGCCCCCGGAGGUCUUCUAAACACUGCAUCUUUGCGUCGGAGUUUAAAACAAAUUAAACAAAACUUUCAACAACGGAUCUCUUGGUUCUGGCAUCGAUGAAGAACGCAGCGAAAUGCGAUAAGUAAUGUGAAUUGCAGAAUUCAGUGAAUCAUCGAAUCUUUGAACGCACAUUGCGCCCUUUGGUAUUCCGAAGGGCAUGCCUGUUCGAGCGUCAUUUCACCACUCAAGCCUGGCUUGGUAUUGGGCGUCGCGGUUCUUCGCGCGCCUUAAAGUCUUCCGGCUGAGCUGUCCGUCUCUAAGCGUUGUGGAUUUUUCAAUUCGCUUCGGAGUGCGGGUGGCCGCGGCCGUUAAAUCUUUAUUCAAAGGUUGACCUCGGAUCAGGUAGG